UACGAAGGGGGCUAGCGUUGUUCGGAUUUACUGGGCGUAAAGCGCACGUAGGCGGAUUGUUAAGUCAGGGGUGAAAUCCUGGAGCUCAACUCCAGAACUGCCUUUGAUACUGGCAAUCUUGAGUCCGGAAGAGGCGAGUGGAACUCCUAGUGUAGAGGUGGAAUUCGUAGAUAUUAGGAAGAACACCAGUGGCGAAGGCGGCUCACUGGUCCGGUACUGACGCUGAGGUGCGAAAGCGUGGGGAGCAAACAGG
rnacentral:rRNA from 1 species